rnacentral:lncRNA from 1 species
CCGAAAUCUUCAUUUAGUUUCAGACACGUGGUUCUGCUUUAGAGUCAAGGACAAAAGAAAGGGGUUACGGAAUCUCCCUUCACAGUCCCUGAGGCCAGGCAUGUGUCAGGAGUGUCCCUGGAUGGAAGCCCAGAGAGGACACUGGGUGAAGCUUUGAAGGUGAAGUCUGGAUGGCUUUGGAGACCCCAAGAUGUUGGAGAUGUCAGAGUCAUGGAAGAAGAAGAGCUGCUAACAGGGAGUGGAACCUACCCUAGAGAAAGAGUGUGUUGCAGUCUACAAAGCUGAAUGGAGUUGUAGAUCUGAAGCGUGUUUGACACCAGACAGGGGGAUACAGAGUUUGGAGUUUGCCCAGCUGGUUUUCGGUCUGGUUUGGUCAGUGUUUCCUCACUAUGGUCCCUUUCCCUCCUUUGGAAUGGCAAUGCAUCUCCUGUGCCAUUGUAUGCUGGAAGCAUUCAGGAGCAUGCAUAGUCCCACGCCCAGAUAAAUGCCACUCGGCAACUUUCUGGCAGCAUUCGGUCACGUCAGAAAGGCAGAAGACGUCAGUAUUUCUGAAGGAGAGUCCGAAGUGUGUUUCUCUCCACCAGGUUGACUACACUGUCAGCCUGUGGGCCUCGACAACCAACGUGAACUGAGACACAGAAAGCACCGAGGGUUGUCUUCUCAAUCCCAGUCCAUUUGAG